rnacentral:rRNA from 1 species
UGGAAUUGCUAGUAAUCGUGGAUCAGCAUGCCACGGUGAAUACGUUCCCGGGUCUUGUACACACCGCCCGUCACACCAUGGGAGUCGGUAACACCCGAAGUCAGUAGUCUAACCGCAAGGAGGACGCUGCCGAAGGUGGGAUUGACGACUGGGGUGAAGUCGUAACAAGGUAAC